rnacentral:rRNA from 1 species
AUUGAACGCUGGCGGCAUGCCUUACACAUGCAAGUCGAACGGCAGCGGGCCUUCGGGUGCCGGCGAGUGGCGAACGGGUGAGUAAUGCAUCGGAACGUGCCAUUGAGUGGGGGGAUAACGUAGCGAAAGUUGCGCUAAUACCGCAUAUUCUGUGAGCAGGAAAGCAGGGGACCGCAAGGCCUUGCGCUCUUUGAGCGGCCGAUGUCAGAUUAGCUAGUUGGUGAGGUAAAGGCUUACCAAGGCGACGAUCUGUAGCGGGUCUGAGAGGAUGAUCCGCCACACUGGAACUGAGACACGGUCCAGACUCCUACGGGAGGCAGCAGUGGGGAAUUUUGGACAAAUGGGGGCAACCCUGAUCCAGCCAUGCCGCGUGAGUGAAGAAGGCCUGGUUGU